UACAGAGGGUGCAAGCGUUGUUCGGAAUCAUUGGGCGUAAAGCGCACGUAGGCGGCUUUGCAAGUCAGGUGUGAAAGCCUGGGGCUCAACCCCAGAAGUGCAUUUGAAACUGCAGAGCUUGAGUCUUGGAGAGGGCAGUGGAAUUCCGAGUGUGGAGGUGAAAUUCGUAGAUAUUCGGAGGAACACCAGUGGCGAAGGCGACUGCCUGGACAAAGACUGACGCUGAGGUGCGAAAGCGUGGGGAGCAAACAGG
rnacentral:rRNA from 1 species